rnacentral:rRNA from 1 species
UAAUACAGAGGGUGCGAGCGUUAAUCGGAUUUACUGGGCGUAAAGCGUGCGUAGGCGGCUUUUUAAGUCGGAUGUGAAAUCCCUGAGCUUAACUUAGGAAUUGCAUUCGAUACUGGGAAGCUAGAGUAUGGGAGAGGAUGGUAGAAUUCCAGGUGUAGCGGUGAAAUGCGUAGAGAUCUGGAGGAAUACCGAUGGCGAAGGCAGCCAUCUGGCCUAAUACUGACGCUGAGGUACGAAAGCAUGGGGAGCAAACAGGAUUAGAUACCCUGGUAGUCCAUGCCGUAAACUAUGUCUACUAGCCGUUGGGGCCUUUGAGGCUUUAGUGGCGCAGCUAACGCGAUAAGUAGACCGCCUGGGGAGUACGGUCGCAAGACUAAA